GCUGUGACUGGGAAAAUGUACAGACUUCUUACAAACGUUGCUGGAAUUGAACUCUGAUGCUUCAAGCUGUACUACAGCACAAUUGGAUGAAGUGCUAGAUCCAGGCAGUGCCAGAAUGUUCCCUGUAGUCUCUGUUUUUACAGCAAUGCUUGCCAGCACCCAGCUACCCGCCUGGGCUUCUUUGACAAUUCCUUCCACGUCAGCAACUGCUCAGAGUGAGAGGGCAGCAAGGGCUGGAGGCUCCACACAAUGGUUAUUCACCCUGUUUCCCGGUGAUAGAAGUUGGUGAUUACUGACAUGUUUAAGAAAAUCAAACUAAAAGACAAAAAAGGUCUUCCAGUGUAUUCCAUGAGGAGAUGGUGGAUUCUGUUUAAGUCCUUCUCUUGAGAGAUGCUGCCAACGAAGGGUAAAAUACAGCUGUGUGCAAUUUACCACGGUCUACAACGGGACAGAGGUUUUCUAGAAAUAUGUGACUGCCAGAAAAAACAAAUAUCCAGUUGGAAUAACAAGAAAAAUAACUGUUUGCCAGAAAACUGAAAUUAAAAACAGAAAAUAUCGGAAAUAUGUGGAGGGAUGUGCAAGUUUGAAGAGUGUGCAGAAAAGGGUCACAAGGAUGCUCCCUGAAUUAGGGGGUAUGUGCUAUGAGGAGAGGAUCGAAAAAAUGAAGUUUUCGCUGGAACAGUGGAGGCCAAGGGGAGGUCUGAUGGAAGUUGAAAGUACAUAUACAUCACUAUAUACAACCCUGAAAUUAAUUUUGCCGUGGACAUACUCUGUAAAUCCAAGAACCAUGAUAGAAUCAAUGAAAGGCUGCACGCAACAAGAUGGACAACCAACCUCUGUGCAAAAGACAACAAACUGUGCAAAUAUAUUUUUUUAAAUAAUAAAUAAAUAAAUGAGGGGAAAAAUCAAGAACAUGAAAUAAAGAGUCAUUGAGACUGGGUCAAUAGGUUGUGGGAACAGUUUAGUGAUUUGGCAAGUGAAGCUGAGUAAAUUUAUCCCCUUUGGUUCAAGAGCCUGAUGGUUGUGGGGUAAUAUCUGUUGCUGAACCUGGUGGUGCGAGUUCUGAGGCUCCUGUACCUUUUCCCUGAUGGCAGCAACAAGAAGAGAGCAUGUUGUGGGUGGUGGGGUCCCUGAUGAUGGAUGCUGCUAUCCUCCAGCAAUGCUUCAUGUAGAUGUAUUGAAUGAUCAUCAUCAUCAUUAUCAUUAUGCUGUAUGUGCUAUGUCAAUCAUGGUUUUAUCCAUGACCAUGACUAUUCUUGGCAAACUGUUGUAGUUUGCCAUUCCUUUUUUCUAGGCCAGGGGUCGGCAACCCGCGGCUCCGGAGCCGCAUGCGACUCUUUCAACUCUGUGCUGCGGCUCCCUGUGGCUUUGGAAAAUAAAUGAUGAGUUUUUAAUUAAAAUGUAUUUUAUGUUAGUUUGUUAGUUUUUGAAAUGUAAUUCUAAAUUUGAAGAUUAUAGUGAUCUUGUACAAUCUAAAUAAAACGUUGUGGCGACCCAUUUCCUGGCACAUCCGAACCGGCUCACAAUUUGCCAGCAUUCCGGCUAAGGGUGAUAGCCUACGGGAGUUUGUGAGUAUGUGUCUUUUGGAGCAUCCGUGCCCACGGGGGGCAGGUUGAGAGAGGCUUAAAAGCA